rnacentral:rRNA from 1 species
GAUGAACGCUAGCGAUAGGCUUAACACAUGCCAGUCGAGGGGCAGCAUGGUCUUAGCUUGCUAAGACUGAUGGCGACCGGCGCACGGGUGCGUAACGCGUAUGCAACUUGCCUCACAGAGGGGGAUAACCCGUCGAAAGACGGACUAAUACCGCGUACACUCUAUUUUGGGCAUCCAAGGUAGAGGAAAUGAAAUUCGCUGUGAGAUAGGCAUGCGUCCCAUUAGCUAGUUGGUGAGGUAACGGCUCACCAAGGCGACGAUGGGUAGGGGAACUGAGAGGUUGAACCCCCACACUGGUACUGAGACACGGACCAGACUCCUACGGGAGGCAGCAGUGAGGAAUAUUGGUCAAUGGGCGAGGGCCUGAACCAGCCAAGUCGCGUGAAGGAUGACUGUCUUAUGGAUUGUAAACUUCUUUUGUAGGGGAAUAAAGAGGGGCACGUGUGCCCCAGUGAAUGUACCCUACGAAUAAGCAUCGGCUAACUCCGUG